UUAUUGGGUAUCAAAACCUAAUAGCGAAAUUAACAUAACUUUUUAUGGGAUUAGUUUUUAGAUUAUUUAUAGUCUAUUAAUUCAAUCCCGGGGCGUUCUAUAUAGUUAUGUAUAAUAAUAUUUAUAUUAUUUAUACCUCUAACUAGAGCGUACCUUGAGCAUAUAUGCUGUGACCCGAAAGAUGGUGAACUAUACUUGAUCAGGUUGAAGUCAGGGGAAACCCUGAUGGAAGACCGAAACAGUUCUGACGUGCAAAUCGAUUGUCAGAAUUGAGUAUAGGGGCGAAAGACCAAUCGAACCAUCUAGUAGCUGGUUCCCUCCGAAGUUUCCCUCAGGAUAGCUGGUGCAUUUAAAUAUUAUGUAAAAUAAUCUUAUCUGGUAAAGCGAAUGAUUAGAGGCCUUAGGGUCGAAACGACCUUAACCUAUUCUCAAACUUUAAAUGGGUAAGAACCUCACCUUUCUUGGUAUGAAGGUUGUGGUUGUGAUAUAAUGUGCCCAGUGGGCCACUUUUGGUAAGCAGAACUGGCGCUGUGGGAUGAACCAAACGUAAUGUUACGGUGCCCAAAUUAACAACUCAUGCAGAUACCAUGAAAGGCGUUGGUUGCUUAAAACAGCAG
rnacentral:rRNA from 1 species